rnacentral:sRNA from 1 species
AGUCCCAAAAAGCAUUCUGUGCGAAGCACUUAACGCCAAAAGUGAACAAAACAACACUUGCUCUAUUAACACGCCACACUGUCUGAAGGCAGUCGGCUUAACGAGAAACAAGAAUAUCCUACGUGUGGCUAAUUUGCGGUUAAGGAAGGCCCCAUGAUAUAUAAAGCCAAAAAAUAAAGCAAAACCGCAGCAGUUCAUUCAAAUUUUUUGUGGCCAAAACAAAUAUUAAGAUAAAAGUCAGUGGGGACUAUAAUUUGAGUUAUUCAAAUGCAAUAAAUCCGCGGAACCAAACGAGUUGCUAAUUUUACGUUAGACGCCCUUUAAUUUCACGCUGCCAUUUGUGGCUUCCGUUUCGUAUAAGUUUGGGUCGAUGAUUUUUAGAAUUUGCAUUUUCAAUUUGAAUAUAAAAAACCGCCGCUGCAGGUUUGCAGCUUUUAAAGUGAUCCGCAAUCUCAUUCCUAGUCAGUCGAAAAAAGUUCCAUUACCGAAUGACAUUUAUGAAGAAAUUGUGCAUAUUAAAUUGGGAUAUUGAUAAGUGAUAUCAUUGUUCCCAAGAAGUGAACGUCUAAACACAAAGGCAGACGGAUGAACAUUGCUAAAUGGACAGGCUUUCUUCUACCUCUUACAUACUUCUCAACGAAUCACAUAUACACUAUACUAUAAUGUGUUCACAAAAUACCAAAAAUGAUCAAGGUCUACACUCUAACGAUGUGCUGAAGUAGCUGCGCCGCAGAAAGAUAAAGCCUAAUGUGGAAAUACAAAUGUAAUUGCUUGCAGUUAAUUGACCCACAUACGAUUUCUAGCCAAGUCAAUGUCAAGUGUUGCUUCGGCUGACUUACUACAAAAGUUAAUUGCACUGCACGCACAUGCCAAAAGGUAAAAAGAGUCGCGAGCCUCGGCGACAGGCUUCCAAAACCCUGUAUAUCCACAUCACCAGACCUCAGGACCUCAACUUACGACUCUGGCUACGAGGCGCGUGUGUGCAAUAUCAGGUUUCCGCAUCGACUUGCAUAGUGAUUCGAGGAUGUGCGAAAAUAUGAUUUAAAUUAAGGGAUCAUCAGUUUGCAACAGACUAUUUGUAUACCUUCCUUUUAGAAUAUAUAUAUAUUUUUUAUAGAAAUAUGUAAUACUAGUUAAGUCUUCUAAAGGAAAUACAUUUUUACACGUU